rnacentral:rRNA from 1 species
CACGUAGGGUGCGAGCGUUGUCCGGAAUUAUUGGGCGUAAAGAGCUCGUAGGCGGUGUGUCGCGUCGGCCGUGAAAACCUGCAGCUUAACUGUGGGCUUGCGGUCGAUACGGGCAUCACUGGAGUUCGGCAGGGGAGACUGGAAUUCCUGGUGUAGCGGUGAAAUGCGCAGAUAUCAGGAGGAACACCGGUGGCGAAGGCGGGUCUCUGGGCCCGAUACUGACGCUGAGGAGCGAAAGCGUGGGGAGCGAACAGG